GUCCAAAUGAUGAGUCCCGAAUAGGACGAAAUGUACAUCCUGGAU
rnacentral:hammerhead_ribozyme from 1 species